UGGGACUAUAGCUCAGCGGGAGAGCACUACGCUGAAGACGUAGGCGUCCUGGGUUCGACUCCCAGUAGUCCCAU
rnacentral:tRNA from 1 species